GACGAACGCUGGCGGCGUGCCUAAUACAUGCAAGUUGAGCGCUGAAGGUUGGUACUUGUACCAACUGGAUGAGCAGCGCACGGGUGAGUAACGCGUGGGGAAUCUGCCUUUGAGCGGGGGACAACAUUUGGAAACGAAUGCUAAUACCGCAUAAAAACUUUAAACACAAGUUUUAAGUUUGAAAGAUGCAAUUGCAUCACUCAAAGAUGAUCCCGCGUUGUAUUAGCUAGUUGGUGAGGUAAAGGCUCACCAAGGCGAUGAUACAUAGCCGACCUGAGAGGGUGAGCGGCCAGAUUGGGACUGAGACACGGCCCAAACUCCUACGGGAGGCAGCAGUAGGGAAUCUUCGGCAAUGGACGAAAGUCUGACCGAGCAACGCCGCGUGAGUGAAGAAGGGUGUCGGAUCGUAAAACUCGGUUGGUAGAGAAGAACGUUGGUGAGAGUGGAAAGCUCAGCAAGUGACGGUAACUACCCAGAAAGGGACGGCUAACUACGUG
rnacentral:rRNA from 1 species